UACGGAGGGUGCAAGCGUUUGUCCGGAAUUAUUGGGCGUAAAGAGCUUGUAGGCGGUUUGUCGCGUCUGCUGUGAAAUUUCGGGGCUCAACCCCGAACUUGCAGUGGGUACGGGCAGACUAGAGUGUGGUAGGGGAGACUGGAAUUCCUGGUGUAGCGGUGAAAUGCGCAGAUAUCAGGAAGAACACCCGUGGCGAAGGCGGCUCUCUGGGACGGUACUGACGCUGAGACGCGAAAGCGUGGGGAGCGAACAGG
rnacentral:rRNA from 1 species